rnacentral:rRNA from 1 species
AUUGAACGCUGGCGGCAUGCUUUACACAUGCAAGUCGAACGGAGUGGCGCACGGGUGAGUAAUACAUCGGAACGUGUCCUAUCGUGGGGGAUAACUGAUCGAAAGAUCAGCUAAUACCGCAUACUAUCAGAUGAGCCUAGGUCGGAUUAGCUAGUGGGUGGGGUAAAGGCCUACCAAGGCAACGAUCCGUAACUGGUCUGAGAGGAUGAUCAGUGACACUGGAACUGAGACACGGUCCAGACGCCUACGGGAGGCAGCAGUGGGGAAUAUUGGACAAUGGGCGAAAGCCUGAUCCAGCCAUGCCGCGUGUAUGAAGAAGGCCUUCGGGUUGUAAAGUACUUUCAGCGAGGAGGCGUUACUCGCAGAAGAAGCACCGGCUAACUCCGUGCCAGCAGCCGCGGUAAUAC